rnacentral:sRNA from 1 species
GAGAAUAGUCUGAGAGGGAGAGAUUGGAAGGUCGUUUUUAAGCUUGAGAACGGUAAUAGACAUCCAGGUGGAGAUGACUAGGCGGCAGAUGAGUCCGGAGUUCAGGGCAGCUCUCCAUCGAUAUUUCUAGCUCGCUUUGUCUACAGUCAUGAGCAGUUGAACAUCAGAUACUCAGAGUGACAUCAGGUUAAAAAAAAAGCCUGCAAUUUGGAUCUUUUCCUGCCUCAGAAGCAAGGAAAAUGGACAAUUGAUAAUCAAAGGCUAAAUCUAUUCUGGGAUCCACUGAAUGCCACUAGCGGGUCUGCUCGAGAGAAUUCCUGAUUGAAUGACAACGGCGCUAAGAACA